UACAGAGGGGGCAAGCGUUAUUCGGAAUUAUUGGGCGUAAAGGGCGCGUAGGCGGCUUGGCAAGUGGAUGGUGAAAUCCCUCGGCUUAACCGAGGAACUGCCGUCCAAACUGCUUCGCUUGAGACCGGGAGAGGUGAGUGGAAUUCCCAGUGUAGCGGUGAAAUGCGUAGAUAUUGGGAGGAACACCCAGGGGGAAACCAGCCGACUGGGCAUAGGCUGACGCUGAGGUGCGAGAGCGUGGGGAGCGAACCGG
rnacentral:rRNA from 1 species